AAUUUUGUGGGAUGAUGAACUCACCACGUGGCCGCUGUGUCGUUAAGCGGAAAAUUGAACGAAUUCCAUGAUGCCGAACUUCGGCGUGGUUCUUUCUCACAGCGCAAACCCAGCCUACCACUUUAGGAUGCAAGAACUCUCCGAUUCUGAGUCGGUGUGUGCCUGAGAGCUUCGAUCGAGGUGUUGUUUUGCGAUCUAACAGUCGUUGAAGAAUCGAUUGGAUAAGAAAUGUACUGCUGAAGUGGUUGGAAUAGCCCUCUGCUUCUGCUACGAGUUGGAUGCUGCUUGCGAGUUUUGCAAGUAGAAGCACAGCAUAGGAGCAAACAGAUGUCGAGGCUGGGUUUUAGAACCAAAAAGGACGAUACCAAGACAAACAAACAUGUUGCACAACCACCAGAUCCAGACCUGUUGAUGCGCCAAAUGGAUCGCUCCAUUGCCGCUGUGGAGUACCAGAGAGCCACUAGUCAGCUGUCCAAGCACCGACCCCCGCAGUCAUCCAAACCCUCUGACAAUGGCAAGGCAAUGAGGGUCAAAGACGAAAGUGUGGUGCUUGCGAAGGGCAGUUCAUAAGGCUUUGUAUCGUCCAGAAGGGACCCAGGAACAAAGCAUCACCUCCCAAACUAUGCGGUGCUCUGUAAAUCCUCAGCCUAGUAUCCCUUCCGCCAGCUACAUUUGGAGGAGGCAGAUUUUUCUCACUUAGUUCCACACAACAUAGCCAUAAGAGGCUUUGACUAAAAAGUAAAGCACACUUGGUUAGCAUCAAAGGAAGGUAGGCAUUAUAAGUCAUGUUUAUGCUAGGAAAUGGACCCAUGACCUCAAAUUACCUCAAGCGUUACUCGUC